CCUACGGGUGGCAGCAGUGGGGAAUAUUGGGCAAUGGGCGCAAGCCUGACCCAGCAACGCCGCGUGAAGGAAGAAGGCUUUCGGGUUGUAAACUUCUUUUCUGAGGGACGAAGAAAGUGACGGUACCUCAGGAAUAAGCCACGGCUAACUACGUGCCAGCAGCCGCGGUAAUACGUAGGGUGCAAGCGUUACCCGGAUUUAUUGGGUGUAAAGGGCGAGUAGGCGGGAAAGCAAGUCAGAUGUGAAAACUCAGGGCUCAACCCUGGGGCUGCAUUUGAAACUGUUUUUCUUGAGUGUUGGAGAGGCAAUCGGAAUUCUGGGUGUAGCGGUGAAAUGCGUAGAGAUACGGAGGAACACUAGUGGCGAAGGCGGAUUGCUGGACAGUAACUGACGCUGAGGCGCGAAAGCGUGGGGAGCAAACAGGAUUAGAUACCCUUGUAGUC
rnacentral:rRNA from 1 species